GAAGGUAUAGCUCAGAGGUAGUGUGUGUGCUUAGCAUGCACAAGGUCCUGGGUUCAAUCCCCAGUAACUCUG
rnacentral:tRNA from 1 species